rnacentral:rRNA from 1 species
GACGAACGCUGGCGGCGUGCUUAACACAUGCAAGUCGAACGGAAAGGCCCUGCUUUUGUGGGGUGCUCGAUUGGCGAACGGGUGAGUAACACGUGAGUAACCUGCCCUUGACUUUGGGAUAACUUCAGGAAACUGGGGCUAAUACCGGAUAUGAGCUCCUGCUGCAUGGUGGGGGUUGGAAAGUUUCGGCGGUUGGGGAUGGACUCGCGGCUUAUCAGCUUGUUGGUGGGGUAGUGGCUUACAAAGGCUUUGACGGGUAGCCGGCCUGAGAGGGUGACCGGCCACAUUGGGACUGAGAUACGGCCCAGACUCCUACGGGAGGCAGCAGUGGGGAAUAGUGCACAAUGGGCGGAAGCCUGAUGCAGCAACGCCGCGUGCGGGAUGACGGCCUUCGGGUUGUAAACCGCUUUCGCCGGUGACGAAGCGUGAGUGACGGUAAUGGGUAAAGAAGCACCGGCUAACUACGUG